CAGAGGUGGACGCGACGCUUGCAGUUUGUAAACAACGGUUUUGAUUGGUCAAAUGAAUGCCGACGUCAUCCACAACACUGGCAGACGCGUCGCGUACUUGCUUUUCGCUGAUUAUGAGAGCCAUGUACUGUAGUUUUUCGUUGCGUCGCUGUUUGCAACAAAUGCGGUAUUAAAUCUAAUAAUACAAAAAGAAUACUUUACGGGUGUAAGUUGUUUUUGCGUGUUAUAUUUUUCUGAAAUGUCUAUUUGAUCGUUAUUUUAUAUUAUCAGCUACUCAGCUAGUGUGUCAGCGCUUGUAGGGUUGUGGAAAUUGGCAUAUUUCACAACGAUGGCGUGAAAAUGUUUCAUCUGAAAAAUGGGCAUAUCAAAAAGCAGAAUGAAAAAAGUCGCACCUGUGUCCGUGACAGAGGAAACCGUCUGUACUAGCAGCGGCAUUCACCGGGAUGAAAGUCAGUUGUUUGGUCCCUCAAACACCAAAGCUUCAGAUCUGCGUGUGUCAAUCAGAAGGAGAGCCCAGGCAGACUGUAACAGUGAGGGGCAGGACUCUGAGUUUUCAGCCGACGAUCUCGCUGAGGAAGCGGACAGAAUCCUCGCUGAGUGUGCCAACACUGAUAUAUCACUGAGCAGGACUUCUUAUAAGAUGCCAAUGUUUGGAUCGAAGUCUUUAGGGCUUUACUACUACGCCAAAGGCCAAGACUGCAACAACGUUUACAGUGGCAGCACACGUGACAACAAUGAAAUUAACACAGUGAACAUAACAACUUCCAUUCGUGAAAAGGUCAGGCCUCCACAGGACCUGCUAAACUGUGCCAACAUGGAGAGCACAGCAACAGCUUCAAGUUCUGGAAUUGGUAGUGGUUCAUCUGUGGCCUUGCCUAUCAUGUAUGAUGCUUCAGAAGAGGACCUCAUGAACACAAUCGAGAGGGAGUUUGGAUCACAACCACAAUGAUCUUCUGAGACAACAAAGAAAAAGAGAAAAUAUGUAUGAGAAGGAUUAUUGAUAAAUCACCAAAAAGUAUUAUGGAUCAUUUUUAUAUUAACCACUGAUGUUUUGGCAUGAACUUUUUGAUUUUAAGACACAUAUACAGGCCUGCCUAAAGUGAUUUCAUUUACAGCUGAGCCCAUGCUAUCAGGAAGGCUGCUAUAGAAGCCUGUAAUUCUUUGAGAGAUUGUAUAUGCCUUAUGGUUCAGGAUGGAGUUUAUUCAGUUUAUUAAGUCAUUAGGAAUAAAAAAGGAAAGGAAUAAAAAAUAUACUUUGCUUUUGACAUUUUUUAAAGAAUAAUAUUCUGUAAAGCAGCUUGCCUGAGAGAAAAACAUAUGGAGUGGAUACUUUAGUUCCAUUUCCUGACCACAUUUCCAAAAUCCUCCACCCGUCUAAGACAGGAAUGCACAUCAGCAGUUUUAGUGGCUCCAUGGAGGCCCCCUAGCUACCCUAAACUACCCUGAUGUAUGUUCACCAGAUUGAAUAGCCUCCAAAAUGCUGAAUACAAUGUAUUUUAAGGCACACACUGAAAAUCAUGCAUAUACUGAUAAUGCAUUUUACCUUUGGAAAUAAUCUGGCGAUGUGUAGCUUGCAUUAAAAUAAUUUGGUUCAUUUUAGAUAGACCCUAUAAGUAGCAAUAACAACAACAUAAUAACUCAAUUUAAUUCAUGUCUGUUAAAAAACAGUUAGUUUUGUCAACACCGAAAGCUGUCUAUAUUGUAUUUUCUUUCUUUCUGACAAUUUAGUAGGAUGGAGACGAAAAUUGGCAUGAAGACAGUCUCCUUACUAGACUUGUCACUAUGUUUAAAAAUAUUUGAUGUUAUUCUUGUAUUGAGUGAUAAGCAAAUUACCCAACAGGACAAAGGUAAAUAUGGCCUAUCAUUUAAAUUAUAAAUAUGGCCUAUCAUUUAAUUUUAUAUGCCUUCAUACGCAUUCAAGAUAAAGAAAAAAGAAUAUUAAAAAGCUAUUAACCACA
ensembl:lncRNA